UGACAAACAUAAGAGGUCCAGCCUGCCCAGUGACAAAGUUCAACGGCCGCGGUACCCUAACCGUGCGAAGGUAGCAUAAUCACUUGUUCUUUAAAUGAGGACUUGUAUCAACGGCACUACGAGGGCUAUACUGUCUCCUUUUUCUAAUCAGUGAAACUGAUCUCCCCGUGAAGAAGCGGGGAUUAAGAUAUAAGACGAGAAGACCCCAUGGAGCUUUAAACUCACCAUGCACCUCUGUGCUCCCACACCCCUGAACACAACAGACCUGCAUGUUAGUUUUAGGUUGGGGUGACCACGGAGUAUAAUUCAACCUCCAUAGCAAAUGGGCUAAAACCCUUAUCCACGAGACACACCUCUAAGAAUUACUAAACUAAUGCUUACGACCCGAUAUUCGAUCAAUGAACCAAGUUACCCUGGGGAUAACAGCGCAAUCUACUUCAAGAGCCCAUAUCGACAAGUAGGU
rnacentral:rRNA from 1 species